UGAUGUUAUAACAUUACUCUGUGCGUUCGCUCCCCAGAUAGCAACAGACUCCGGGGCGGAUCCGCCUUCAAGUCGCCAGCUCUGCUGUACGCUCAGAUUCAAUUCGGCAACGCGCACAGGAUAUGCCCCGCCUCCGCACAGCGCGCUGUCAACUCGCGGACUCGUUACAGAUGCGGGGCGGAUUCACUGACCGGACGCGCCUUUUUUCAACUGUCGUCGUCACUGAAUCCUUCUCCUCACCGUGGAAAAGCUGGAGCCGGCAGGUCGGUGAAGACUAAACACGCUUACAGCUCAUUCAAGUGCCGCCAGUGUGUUUUUGGAGUAACUUAUUCUUUCUAUUUCAUCUUUCAUCUGAGGAAACUUACAGCUCAUUCAAGUGCUGCCAGUGUGUUUUUGGAGUAUUCUUCUUUGUAUUUCAUCUUUACCAAACGUCUGAGGAAACUUACAGCUCAUUCAAGUGCCGCCAGUGUGUUUUUGGAGUAUUUCUUCUUUCUAUUUCAUCUUUCAUCUGAGGAAACUUACAGCUCAUUCAAGUGCCGCCAGUGUGUUUUUGGAGUAUUCUUCUUUGUAUUUCAUCUUUACCAAACGUCUGAGGAAAAUCAUUAUUUCAUGUCAUAGAGAGGAAAUGUCAUUGCUCCCUAUGUAGGCCUCACCGAUCCAUGAGAUUCAAUCAAAAUAUCUUAAUUUGUGUUCUGAAGAUGAACGAAGGCAUUACGGGUGUAGAACGACAUGAGGGUAAGUAAUAAAUGACAUUAUUUUCAUUUUUGGGUGAACUAACCCUUCAACUAUAAGAAAUUGACAAGAUUUUUGUUACAUUUUCUAUUUUAUCCCGUGCAACUGUUGGGCGCCAUGACACAAAAUGUGUCACAAGGAACAUCCUUUCCCGCAUUCAACCAGAUGGAGUCCAAGAAGUUCCUCCUGUGUGCUGUGAGAAAGAACCAUGUAUCACGUACCGCCACUGAUGAAGACAUUACAAUACACACAAUACGAUGGUUCAGCCUGGCAGCUGAUAGGGGAAGCUCCAGGAACCGUCCCACUGUGAGCGCCCAACAGUAGAGUUUCAGAGUAUCAUUGGCUACGUUUACAUGCACCGAUUUUCGUCAAUCUGAAUUAAUUGAAUCUGAUUGCAGAUCUGUUUACAUGUACUAUAAACAUUGUAAUCUCAUUCAAAUAUCCAUUUAUAUUUGUUUUAUAUACAUUCCGAUUAAAACUUUGAUGUCAUAUCAAUCACACUUGCGGUAACCCAGGUUGCGUCAACAGAGUCAGAGAUAUUGUCAAAUGCAGCAAAUCUUGGUAAUAUUAAGAGGAUUUGGUAUUUCCAAUUAAUGUAGGCCUGUUACAUACUUCUAGUCUAUUAUUAUUACUAUUAGGUUAGGCUUCUUUCUUUUAUUAUUAAAUUAAUAUUAUAAUAAAUUUGCCCCACAAUUUCAUAGCGCAUCGCCGCAUAACUGACGUGCUCUGAGGAUAAUAUAACUUAUAAGAUUAGGCUAUUAGCUAUCUUUGAAAAUGAUUUAAACUUUUUUUAGGUCUGAUACAAUGAAUUAUAGGCCUAUAAUUAAAGUUAUUAAGAAUGUCAAUGAAAAUUAAGCGCAGCUUUACUUCAAGCACUGACUUUAAAAAACAAACCACCUGUUUAACACGAAAUACUAUUAUUCUCAUUUGUUUCACUAGCCUAUAUGUACGGCCACAAGUGAAAUAAUGGAAUAAAUUUAGACAGUUACAUAGGCUACCGUUAUCAGCAUUUUAUGUUGAAAUUCGUCUCUGAGAAUAUGCUUUGUUAAAGCAGCCUCAGACAGCUCCGUCACUUUUUACUUUUUGUGGUGAAUACUGACCGAGUUUGAGACUUUUUCAUCAGCAUAACUCUUGCGCAAAGUUUGGACGUUGCUUCUUGUGUGAUAUCCACUGGCUCCCCGUCUUGUCUUAAAACGGAAGAUUUCCAAUAUUGUGACGAAGUGAUACAUACGCCACUGCCUGUUGACAUACAUCUUUACAACUAAAGACGUGAACGUUAACUUUAAAUGCGUGUCAGCAUUGCACUGUUGUGCCCCAGAGGCUUCUGAAUACUAUUGAGAAAGUAGUCGGAUUCAAUGUUUACAUGGUUAUUUUUUGCUGUUUGAUCGGAUUAGAAAAGGAAUAAACCACCCCUUCCAAUCCGAUCGAAAUUUCAUUCAGAUCGAUUAAGGUGUUUACAUGAACGUUUUUCAAUCCGAUUGAGCCGUCAAUCCGAUUACAAAUGGAUUAUUUGGGUGCAUGUAAACGUAGCCAAUG